UUAAGCGACUAAGCGUACACGGUGGAUGCCCUGGCAGUCAGAGGCGAUGAAGGACGUGCUAAUCUGCGAUAAGCGUCGGUGAGGUGAUAUGAACCGUUAUAACCGGCGAUUUCCGAAUGGGGAAACCCAGUGUGAUUCGUCACACUAUCAUUAACUGAAUCCAUAGGUUAAUGAGGCGAACCGGGGGAACUGAAACAUCUAAGUACCCCGAGGAAAAGAAAUCAACCGAGAUUCCCCCAGUAGCGGCGAGCGAACGGGGAGGAGCCCAGAGCCUGAAUCAGUGUGUGUGUUAGUGGAAGCGUCUGGAAAGGCGCGCGAUACAGGGUGACAGCCCCGUACACAAAAAUGCACAUGCUGUGAGCUCGAUGAGUAGGGCGGGACACGUGGUAUCCUGUCUGAAUAUGGGGGGACCAUCCUCCAAGGCUAAAUACUCCUGACUGACCGAUAGUGAACCAGUACCGUGAGGGAAAGGCGAAAAGAACCCCGGCGAGGGGAGUGAAAAAGAACCUGAAACCGUGUACGUACAAGCAGUGGGAGCCUCUUAAUGGGGUGACUGCGUACCUUUUGUAUAAUGGGUCAGCGACUUAUAUUCUGUAGCAAGGUUAACCGAAUAGGGGAGCCGAAGGGAAACCGAGUCUUAACUGGGCGUUAAGUUGCAGGGUAUAGACCCGAAACCCGGUGAUCUAGCCAUGGGCAGGUUGAAGGUUGGGUAACACUAACUGGAGGACCGAACCGACUAAUGUUGAAAAAUUAGCGGAUGACUUGUGGCUGGGGGUGAAAGGCCAAUCAAACCGGGAGAUAGCUGGUUCUCCCCGAAAGCUAUUUAGGUAGCGCCUCGUGAAUUCAUCUCCGGGGGUAGAGCACUGUUUCGGCAAGGGGGUCAUCCCGACUUACCAACCCGAUGCAAACUGCGAAUACCGGAGAAUGUUAUCACGGGAGACACACGGCGGGUGCUAACGUCCGUCGUGAAGAGGGAAACAACCCAGACCGCCAGCUAAGGUCCCAAAGUCAUGGUUAAGUGGGAAACGAUGUGGGAAGGCCCAGACAGCCAGGAUGUUGGCUUAGAAGCAGCCAUCAUUUAAAGAAAGCGUAAUAGCUCACUGGUCGAGUCGGCCUGCGCGGAAGAUGUAACGGGGCUAAACCAUGCACCGAAGCUGCGGCAGCGACACUAUGUGUUGUUGGGUAGGGGAGCGUUCUGUAAGCCUGUGAAGGUGGCCUGUGAGGGUUGCUGGAGGUAUCAGAAGUGCGAAUGCUGACAUAAGUAACGAUAAAGCGGGUGAAAAGCCCGCUCGCCGGAAGACCAAGGGUUCCUGUCCAACGUUAAUCGGGGCAGGGUGAGUCGACCCCUAAGGCGAGGCCGAAAGGCGUAGUCGAUGGGAAACAGGUUAAUAUUCCUGUACUUGGUGUUACUGCGAAGGGGGGACGGAGAAGGCUAUGUUGGCCGGGCGACGGUUGUCCCGGUUUAAGCGUGUAGGCUGGUUUUCCAGGCAAAUCCGGAAAACCAAGGCUGAGGCGUGAUGACGAGGCACUACGGUGCUGAAGUGACAAAUGCCCUGCUUCCAGGAAAAGCCUCUAAGCAUCAGGUAACAUCAAAUCGUACCCCAAACCGACACAGGUGGUCAGGUAGAGAAUACCAAGGCGCUUGAGAGAACUCGGGUGAAGGAACUAGGCAAAAUGGUGCCGUAACUUCGGGAGAAGGCACGCUGAUAUGUAGGUGAAGCGACUUGCUCGUGGAGCUGAAAUCAGUCGAAGAUACCAGCUGGCUGCAACUGUUUAUUAAAAACACAGCACUGUGCAAACACGAAAGUGGACGUAUACGGUGUGACGCCUGCCCGGUGCCGGAAGGUUAAUUGAUGGGGUUAGCGGUAACGCGAAGCUCUUGAUCGAAGCCCCGGUAAACGGCGGCCGUAACUAUAACGGUCCUAAGGUAGCGAAAUUCCUUGUCGGGUAAGUUCCGACCUGCACGAAUGGCGUAAUGAUGGCCAGGCUGUCUCCACCCGAGACUCAGUGAAAUUGAACUCGCUGUGAAGAUGCAGUGUACCCGCGGCAAGACGGAAAGACCCCGUGAACCUUUACUAUAGCUUGACACUGAACAUUGAGCCUUGAUGUGUAGGAUAGGUGGGAGGCUUUGAAGUGUGGACGCCAGUCUGCAUGGAGCCGACCUUGAAAUACCACCCUUUAAUGUUUGAUGUUCUAACGUUGGCCCCUAAUCGGGGUUGCGGACAGUGUCUGGUGGGUAGUUUGACUGGGGCGGUCUCCUCCUAAAGAGUAACGGAGGAGCACGAAGGUUGGCUAAUCCUGGUCGGACAUCAGGAGGUUAGUGCAAUGGCAUAAGCCAGCUUGACUGCGAGCGUGACGGCGCGAGCAGGUGCGAAAGCAGGUCAUAGUGAUCCGGUGGUUCUGAAUGGAAGGGCCAUCGCUCAACGGAUAAAAGGUACUCCGGGGAUAACAGGCUGAUACCGCCCAAGAGUUCAUAUCGACGGCGGUGUUUGGCACCUCGAUGUCGGCUCAUCACAUCCUGGGGCUGAAGUAGGUCCCAAGGGUAUGGCUGUUCGCCAUUUAAAGUGGUACGCGAGCUGGGUUUAGAACGUCGUGAGACAGUUCGGUCCCUAUCUGCCGUGGGCGCUGGAGAACUGAGGGGGGCUGCUCCUAGUACGAGAGGACCGGAGUGGACGCAUCACUGGUGUUCGGGUUGUCAUGCCAAUGGCACUGCCCGGUAGCUAAAUGCGGAAGAGAUAAGUGCUGAAAGCAUCUAAGCACGAAACUUGCCCCGAGAUGAGUUCUCCCUGAGACUUAGAGUCUCCUGAAGGAACGUUGAAGACGACGACGUUGAUAGGCCGGGUGUGUAAGCGCAGCGAUGCGUUGAGCUAACCGGUACUAAUGAACCGUGAGGCUUAACCUU
rnacentral:rRNA from 10 species